CCUACGGGGGGCUGCAGUGGGGAAUAUUGGACAAUGGGGGCAACCCUGAUCCAGCAAUGCCGCGUGUGUGAAGAAGGCCUGCGGGUUGUAAAGCACUUUCAGCAGGGAAGAAAAGCUCGGGGUUAAUACCCUCGGGUCUUGACGUUACCUGAAGAAGAAGCACCGGCUAACUCCGUGCCAGCAGCCGCGGUAAUACGGAGGGUGCGAGCGUUAAUCGGAAUUACUGGGCGUAAAGCGCACGUAGGCGGUCGGAUAAGUCGGAUGUGAAAGCCCUG
rnacentral:rRNA from 1 species